GGUAUUUUAGAAGGGUGUUACAUUAGUGGUAUCAGAGCAUAGUUGGUCGAGUCGAGUCGUAAUUAUUCUGUUUCCCCUGUACGGGAUAGGUGUUGUGUAACCCUAUCAGUACUUAUUGUUUAGCUUGUUGGGUUUUCAGAAUAGAGAUGGCUGGAAGAGGUAGAGACGAUGCUGCGAUUGCUGAGGCUCUGGGUAUGCUAGCUGGAGUACUUGGAGGGAAUUCGAAUGUUGUGGGAAUGGGAGCUGCUCGUC
rnacentral:lncRNA from 1 species